CGUAAUAAUAGAAACUAACCAGGAUUCCCUUAGUAACGGCGAGUGAACUGGGAUACCCAAUAUACCAUCUGUGCGUACCUCGGUGCGUACAAAUUUUAGCCCGUCGAUACUAUCCUAGCAUAGUACUGGCUUCGGCCGGUAACCUAUCUAUGCGCGAAUUGUAGCAUCGUACAAAAAUAUAUUAUACAACGUAUAUAUACGCAACCCACACUUAUAUAUAUUUUUAUGCGUACACUUACUUUCAUAAACACACAGCGCUCUCGCGUUGGAAAGCAAGUUUAUAUCCUUUUUUGGAUACGCCAUAGAGUGUGACAGCCACGUUUCAACUCUACGUACGUACGUAUACACACGCGUUAUAUACAUACACUGUAUUUUAUAUAUAACCUGAGUCGAGUUAUUU
rnacentral:rRNA from 1 species